UAUCUCUGUAGAGUCUGCAUAUCAAUAAGCGGAGGAAAAGAAACUAACUAGGAUUCCCUCAGUAACGGCGAGUGAAGCGGGAAGAGCUCAAAUUUGAAAUCUUCAAGGUUUUACCUUGACGAAUUGUAGUCUAAAGAAGUGUUUUCUGUUGGAAUUUUGGUAAAAGUUCUUUGGAAAAAGACAUCAAAGAGGGUGAGAAUCCCGUAUUUGACCAUUAUUUCCAGCUUUGUGAUACACUUUCAAAGAGUCGGAUUGUUUGGGAAUGCAGUCCAAAAUGGGUGGUAAACUUCAUCUAAAGCUAAAUACUGGCGAGAGACCGAUAGCGAACAAGUACCGUGAGGGAAAGAUGAAAAGAACUUUGAAAAGAGAGUUAAACAGUACGUGAAAUUGUCAAAAGGGAAGCGUUUGACACCAGUGUUGUUUUCUCGAAAAUCAAUUAAAAAAGAUUGGAUUUUGUGUUGUAUUGACUUUAUCAGCUUUCUGCACUCUUUCCCCGUCUUUUUUAAUGCACUUUUCGUUUAACAAGUCAACAUCAAUUUCUUUUGUUGUAAAAGGGUCAUUGGAAGGUGGCUUUCUUCUCGGAGAAAGUGUUUAUAGCCUUUGGCCUCUGCAAUCGGAGAGAUUGAGGUCUGCAGCGUAGAUCCUUCGGGGUUAGAUACAUUUGUGCUAAGUUAUAGCCUUUCAUAGACAACUUGUUGACUAUGAUCAGUCAUGUAGCUUACUCGCUUAUGUCAUUUUACCUACGCUUAGGAUGUUGAUGUGAUACUGCGAGC
rnacentral:rRNA from 1 species